AUUGAACGCUGGCGGCAUGCUUUACACAUGCGAGUCGAACGGUAACAGGGAGCUUGCUCCGCUGACGAGUGGCGAACGGGUGAGUAAUAUAUCGGAACGUACCCAGAAGUGGGGGAUAACGUAGCGAAAGUUACGCUAAUACCGCAUACGAUCCACGGAUGAAAGUAGGGGACCUUCGGGCCUUAUGCUGUUGGAGCGGCCGAUAUCUGAUUAGCUAGUUGGUGAGGUAAAGGCUCACCAAGGCGACGAUCAGUAGCUGGUCUGAGAGGACGACCAGCCACACUGGAACUGAGACACGGUCCAGACUCCUACGGGAGGCAGCAGUGGGGAAUUUUGGACAAUGGGCGCAAGCCUGAUCCAGCAAUGCCGCGUGAGUGAAGAAGGCCUUCGGGUUGUAAAGCUCUUUUGUCAGGGAAGAAACGGCUGUGGCUAAUAUCCACGGCUAAUGACGGUACCUGAAGAAUAAGCACCGGCUAACUACGUGCCAGCAGCCGCCGUAAGAC
rnacentral:rRNA from 1 species